rnacentral:rRNA from 1 species
AGUCGAACGAGCGAGAGAGAGCUUGCUUUCUCGAGCGAGUGGCGAACGGGUGAGUAACGCGUGAGGAACCUGCCUCAAAGAGGGGGACAACAGUUGGAAACGACUGCUAAUACCGCAUAAGCCCACGGGUCGGCAUCGACCAGAGGGAAAAGGAGCAAUCCGCUUUGAGAUGGCCUCGCGUCCGAUUAGCUAGUUGGUGAGGUAAUGGCCCACCAAGGCAACGAUCGGUAGCCGGACUGAGAGGUUGAACGGCCACAUUGGGACUGAGACACGGCCCAGACUCCUACGGGAGGCAGCAGUGGGGAAUAUUGCACAAUGGGGGAAACCCUGAUGCAGCGACGCCGCGUGGAGGAAGAAGGUCUUCGGAUUGUAAACUCCUGUUGUUGGGGAAGAUAAUGACGGUACCCAACAAGGAAGUGACGGCUAACUACGUGCCAGCAGCCGCGGUAAAACGUAGGUCACAAGCGUUGUCCGGAAUUACUGGGUGUAAAGGGAGCGCAGGCGGGAAGACAAGUUGGAAGUGAAAUCUAUGGGCUCAACCCAUAAACUGCUUUCAAAACUGUUUUUCUUGAGUAGUGCAGAGGUAGGCGGAAUUCCCGGUGUAGCGGUGGAAUGCGUAGAUAUCGGGAGGAACACCAGUGGCGAAGGCGGCCUACUGGGCACCAACUGACGCUGAGGCUCGAAAGUGUGGGUAGCAAACAGGAUUAGAUACCCUGGUAGUCCACACCGUAAACGAUGAUUACUAGGUGUUGGAGGAUUGACCCCUUCAGUGCCGCAGUUAACACAAUAAGUAAUCCACCUGGGGAGUACGACCGCAAGG